UCCUGCCAUGUGGUGACAGAUUAAAAGCUGCUAUACACUUUGGAACUGGAAACUGAGCUCCCAAUAUAAAGGAGAUAAGCCAUCAUGCUUACAAUAUGUUGUGCAGAGCUCACUGGUGGGCAGUUUUUCUUAACAAUGCAUCAGGACUUUUGCUAUUUGUAAAGGAAGCUUAAAGGAAGCUGAGAGUGCUGAGGGCACAUCUGAAACCACUGGAGGUUGGCGACGUGGAGGUCAGGUAGUAGUGCUCUCCCACCAGGAGUCCCUCUGCACCCCUGGAGAGAGCAGUCAUUAUGCAGGACAACCCAUCUGCUCAGAACUUUCAGUGGCGACUUGUGGUGUGACUCUGUUCCCAUUCAUCUAUGUGCUGCUGUAGGCUUAGCUUCCCACAGCCUCCCCAGCUUUGCCAUUUGUCAUUAUCAUUUACUCUUAAUAUUUAUUCUAUCUAUGACCCUGAUGCACAGAGUGAUAGCUGAUAGUCUCUUAAAACAACGUUUACAAUUAUUUUGACAGUUUACCGUGUUUUGUUCUCUCAACAAUACUUAGAAUUUGUCUGAGUUAUAGUUGCAUAGACGGCAAUUUUCCUGACCUAGUUUUCUGACUAUGAUUUAUGGGUCAGUAAACUCCUUAAAUGAUGGAAUAUAACAUCUCAGGCCACAGGGAACACUUACUAUCACAUGCUCACUGUUGCAGGACGGAUGCGUGGCCAGCCUCAGGUUGCUAAAUGUUAGGGUGAUCUGCCUUCCUUCUGGGGCGGUGAUUCUCCACUUGUAGAUCCGGCCAUGAGGAUUUAGGUUCGGGUAGUUGGGAGAAGUAGAUGUUCCAGCAGAGCCCUGAAGAUCCCCACCACACUCUGAUGUGGGGGAAGAAAGCCAAGAAAACUUCCAAUCAAAUCAAAAUGUCUCCUUCCAUCAGGAAAGCUCUCAAAAUUCAGGUGUCCUGCGUGUACAAAGAAAAUAAUAAAAAACAAGACCUUGCCCAUGAAGAAAUAUUAAUCUCUCUCAAGAAAACAGGAAAACAUGAAUGAAAAUUAACAUAUUCAAAUAUAUGAAGAAGUGAAAAAAAUGCAACCAGUUAGGGGAAGGAUAUCUCAGGAUAAUGAGGAAGGCCAGUUUUUUGGUUGAAAAAGUGGUUUGAGACAACAGAGUGACAAAUAUCUGCCUUAUGCUACUGCCAGGAGACAUGCAUGACCCUCUUUCUGCCUCAAGCUAUAGAACACCCCUCAAAUAACGGCAUCUGGCAAUGGGAUGUCUCAGCAGCAACAGGUUGCCUUCCCACUACCGUUGCUCUCCCCAGGUGGCCUCCAGGGUAGGCUAUAUGACACCUGGGCUCUGGACAUCCAUUGUUAAUGGUAGAAUUGAGGUAGAGAAUCACUGGUACUGCCCAAAGCCCAUUAAUCUGCACUUCUUUGCAGAGUAUAGACAUGCUUUGCCUUUCUUGGAAGUGAAGAAACUUCAGAGGCUGAAUAAGUACAUGCGAAAAUAAACACCCCAAAGAGAGCAGAUAUAUUUCACUAACCAGAAGUAUGAUAGUCCCAGGUCUCCACAAAGUCUUUUUCACAGCCAGAGGAAUUCUGAAGGUUAAAAUCUUCAAAAGAGAUGGUGAGAUAGUGUCUGGAGAGCCCCUGGAGAUGCCAAUCACAGAAUAAGUUGUCUCUAUAUGGAAGCAUUAGAUGGCCAAUGCUUUCAACAACACCACUUUGCCCUGUUACUCUUCCCCCACACUGAGCUGAAAAAAAAAAGAAAGAAAGAAAGAAAAGAAAGAAAGGAUUCUAUUACAAACUGUGUUUUUUUCAUUUCACCAGCACAUGUGAAAACUUUUAGGUGCCAAGUGACUAUGAAUUGAAGUUUUUAAAAUUCUGAAAAUGCUUAGUGCUUUCCUCAUUAUUUGAAUUCUAGGGUUGAUGUAAACAGAAGUGAUACCACAAGUCCAAUCCAAUAAUGGGAAACAAGAUGACGACCAAAUGGCACAUUCUGUAAUGUCACAUUAAUUCUUUUGGGACACUAUGUAAGAGCUAUCAGUUGCAAGCAAGUUUCAUCUCAAGAACAAACUGGUAGACUCAUCUGACCUGCCUAGAACCUUGUGUUGAUUCUAAAGACUGAACCCAAGCUCACCUGGAAGGGGGGACACCUGCUAUAUCUAGUUUUACUAUCAACUAAACUUUCACUACUGUAACUGAUAUCUCAGGGCCUUGAAAAUUACUAUUCAAUUAUGUCUUAUUAGCUGGAUGUGGUAGCUAAUUGAAUUAUAUGCAGCUUGACCCGGGAUAUAAUAUGAUCUAUGGUGUAGUUAAAUACUGUUACAACUAGCCUUUCUGAACUUUUGCUAUAUUAAAUAUUUGUUUGGUUUGUGUCUAGACCUAUCAGAUACUAAAUUGUGUGCUAUUGUGACCAUACUAUAGUGAAUCUUCAACAAGCAAAGUUACUGCUCAAUUUUUAAGUAAGGAAAUCAAAAUCCUGAAGAGACAUAUUUGCUUUUUAUCCAGUGACUGAUUUGGCACUAGAGACUCAGAGAAAAAAAAAAAGCUUAAUCAUUUUAUAUAUGAUGAGGAAUUCAAAGACAUUGUUCUAAAUAUAGUUAUCUGGUUCUUAAAUAGUUGUAUUACUUAAAGUAAUAAACAUACUGUAGUUCUUCCUUUUCCUUGGCGGAUACAUUCCAAGUCCCCCCAGUGAGUGCCUAAAACCUUGGAUAGUACCAAACCCUAUAUAGACAUAUAGACAAUUUUUUUCUACAUAUAUGUACCUAUGAUAAAGCUUGCUUUAUCAAUUAAACGUAGUAAGAGAUUAACUAAUAAUAAAAUAGAACAAUCAUAACAAUAUACUGUAAGAAAAGUUAUGUAAAUGUGGUCUCUCAAAAUAUCUUGGUGUACUGUACUCACCUAUUUUUUGGGCCUCUGUUUACCAAGUGCAUUGAAACCAUGGAACAUGAAACCAUGGAUAAGAGAGAACUACUGAAUUUCAUAGUAAGCAGAAGAAACAGGAGUUUGAUUUAACUACACAUAUUUCUUCACAAAUAAGUUAGAAAAAAUAUAAAAUAUUCAAGUUUACUAAGAUUACAUUUUAAAAUAAAAAUUAAAAGAGAAAUUAAAGUUGAUGACUGUGGUUUUAAACAUUUACACUCCUUACUUAUUUAUAGCAUUAAAAUAUUUUUAAAAUUAUGCAGAUAGAAUGACUUCUUUUUAAAAAGUCAUGGUUUUAAAAAAAGUUUUAACAUAUUCAUCCUGUAAUAACUCUUUUAUUUAAUAUAAAAAUGUUUUCCAGGGUUUUUAUAGUUUUGUGUUUUACAGUUAAGUCUUCAAUCUAUCUUGAAUUGAUUUUUGUAUAUGGUAUAAGGAAGGGGUCCAGUUUCAAUCUUCCGCAUAUUGCUAGCCAGUUCUCCCAGCAUCAUUUAUUGGAUAGGGAGUCUUUUCCCCAUUGCUUGCUUUUGUCAGCUUUGUUGAAGAUCAGAUGCCUGUAAGUGUGAGGCCCUAUUUCUAAGCUCUCUAUUCCAUUUUAUUGGUCUAUGUGUCUAUUUUUGUACCAGUACCAUGCUGUUUUGGUUACUGUACCCCUGUAGUAUAGUUUCAAGUCAGGUAUUGUGAUGCCUCCAGCUUUGUUCUUUUAGUUUAGGAUUGCCUUGGUUAUUUGGGUUCUUUCUGGGGUCCAUAUGAGUUUUAAAAUAGUUUUUUCUAGUACUGUGAAGAAUGUCAUGGUAGUUUGAUAGGAAUAGCAUUGAAUAUGUAAAUUUGGGGAAGCAGUAUGACCACUUUAAUAAUACUGAUUCUUCCUAUCUAUGAGCAUGGAAUUUUUUUUCAUUUGAUAGGGUGGAGGGUGGGAGAAGGGAGAGGGGCAGAAAAAAUAGCUAUUAGAUACUAGGCUUAGUACCUGAGUGAUGAAAUAAUCUUUAUAAUGACCCCCAUGGCACGAGUUUACCUAUAUAACAAACCUGCACAUGUAACCCUGAACCUAAAAUAAAAGUUAAAAAAUA
rnacentral:lncRNA from 1 species